CAUUUUUAACCCAUAUUCUUUAUGUGAAAACAUCUUCAGAAUACAUUAAAAAUAUUGUGUUAUUUCACUUUCAGCACCAUCAGAUACUUCUUCAUCCCCUGUUAAUACCCCACCAGUAGGUUAUGAUAAGUUAUCUGCAAACCCUCCUCUAUACAACAGUACGUUCUUACCUAGUGACUGUGGUACUAGUGAAGAUGAGAGUGGGAGUUACGGAUCCUUUGGAAGAGGGCCCUUGGGACAUCCGUUAAGGAGUUUUAGUGUUCCUGAACCCCCUACUUCAACCACCACACAGCCACCCAUUGUUAAUAAACCCAAACUAUCGACAAGUCCUUUAAAAUUGGGUGAAAUCAGUAAUACUGCACUGUCAGGUACUAUUUCUGACACUCCAUCACAUAAUGCUCGACCAGAGCCGUUAAUAACUGCCUGUAAACCUUUAAAGGAGGAUCAAAUACUGCCAUCUUACAGUACAGAAGAACUGAAUCAAGAAAUGGCUAACCUAGAGGGCUUAAUGAAAGACUUGAAUGCAAUCACUGCUUCAGAGUUUGAGUGCUGACGUUGUUGUAAAAUAUUGUAAAGAGUGCUGAGUUAAGAGAGUGCUGUUAGCCAUCAGGUUUCCAUAGGAUGAAUUAGAGGUUAUUGUCUAAGCUCACAAAAUGCCUAUACCAAGAAAAUAUGAUGAUGAAUGUGAAAUAAUCACAUUGUGCCAAAAUUAUGUCAAAAAUGUGUAGAUAGUGUGUACAUUGUUAGCAGCAGGCUUUAAGGAAUCUGUUUUUUUUUCUUCCGGUUUCCAUUCUGUAGUAAUAAUUAACACAGUUAUUGAACUACUUCAAUGACUCUAGCUAUGUUUAUGCCAGGUUUUCCAUUGAAUCUCAUGGCAUGCCUCUUAGAGGUUGUACAUACAGUCUCUGACAGAGUAUUUUACCUAAAUCUUCAUAUUCUCAGAAAUGGUGUUUGCCUAACAGUAUUUCAUGUGUGUUUUUAGUGAAAGUUAAAAUUAAAGUUACUGUUCACCGUAUUGCUUACUUUAUUCCGAAAAAAUCUUUGGCUAUCUUAAGGUUUCAACUGAGAACAUCUCGUACCUCACGAGAUAAAAUUAUUUUACUAUGAAAGACAGUAAAUUCUCUCUAUCUUAAGUGAAGAAUGGUACUACUUUAUUGGUACAAAAGACUAAUAUAGUUUUUAUUUGUGACAUUAGUGCUAUUCUGUGCAUGUAAAUAUGGAUAUAAGACAUAUAUAUAUAUAUAAUUUUGGAUGAGAGACGUGUAAAGUAUAUGGCCCAUUCUAAACUUAGCAGAUUUGUUGACAUUUUGUAUUGAUGACAGCUAAUAAAAAGAAAAAUGAUGAAUUCUUA